rnacentral:rRNA from 1 species
UACGAAGGGGGCUAGCGUUGCUCGGAAUCACUGGGCGUAAAGGGUGCGUAGGCGGGUCUUUAAGUCAGGGGUGAAAUCCUGGAGCUCAACUCCAGAACUGCCUUUGAUACUGAGGGUCUUGAGUCCGGGAGAGGUGAGUGGAACUGCGAGUGUAGAGGUGAAAUUCGUAGAUAUUCGCAAGAACACCAGUGGCGAAGGCGGCUCACUGGCCCGGUACUGACGCUGAGACGCGAAAGCGUGGGGAGCAAACAGG